rnacentral:rRNA from 1 species
AACGAACGCUGGCGGCAUGCCUAACACAUGCAAGUCGAACGAGACCUUCGGGUCUAGUGGCGCACGGGUGCGUAACGCGUGGGAACCUGCCUUUAGGUUCGGAAUAACUCAGAGAAAUUUGAGCUAAUACCGGAUAAUGUCUUCGGACCAAAGAUUUAUCGCCUUUAGAUGGGCCCGCGUUGGAUUAGGUAGUUGGUGGGGUAAAGGCCUACCAAGCCGACGAUCCAUAGCUGGUUUGAGAGGAUGAUCAGCCACACUGGGACUGAGACACGGCCCAGACUCCUACGGGAGGCAGCAGUGGGGAAUCUUGCGCAAUGGGCGAAAGCCUGACGCAGCAACGCCGCGUGCGGGAAGAAGGCUUUUCGGGCGUGUAAACCGGACUUUCUAGCAGGAACG